AAAAAAGAAAAAAGAAACCACUUUCUUUGCUUGUCCAUAAAAAGCAAUGUUUCAUCUGUUCAAGUUUUAUCAUAUUACAACAGAACUAAUUCUAGUUCUAUUGCUGUCUCUACCAUAUCUGCAGUUACUUCCUCCUCUUAAGUCCCAAACUCUUCAAAGUCAUCCAUGAGGGUUGGAAUCAACUUCUUCCAAACUGUUAAUGGUGACAUUCUGACCUCCUCCCAUGAAUCCUGAAUGGUCUUAACAGCAUCUAAAAUGAUGAUAGAUCCAUGAUGCAUAGUUACAGGAUAUGAGAAUUCACUGUGAAUCCCCCAACCACUGAGGAUGGUAUCACGAUGAGCAACGACCAUGCAGUCCCAUGAAAUGUCCCUCAGCAUCACAACCAGCAGCUCAUCCUGUCCUUUCCCUGCUCCAGCUAUGGAAUCUACCAUAUCUCCAAAGAAUCCUGGAAGAGCCUCUCCUGAGACAAAAUCAUAUAUCAGAAAACUAAUAAGACAGGAAAUUUAAGUACACGUUGAAAGAAAAAGAUACUUUGUUACACGAAGCUGAAGUCAGUGAAACUUGUAACAAGGCAGGCUCAAACAGAGGUACCAACUACAGAUACUGUCUAAUUGUAAAUGAACUACCAAGCAACUGUUAAAGGAAAGAAGUACAGAAUCGUAUGGAUGCCAAAGAUUGCCAGCUAAUAAAAUGUCUUAAUUUGCUUGCUUCUUUAAAAAAUCCA
rnacentral:lncRNA from 1 species